UACGAGGGGGGCGAGCGUUGUUCGGAAUUAUUGGGCGUAAAGGGUGCGUAGAUGGUAUAAUAAGUUAUCAGCGGUAAAUCGGGGCUCAACCUCGUGGAAGUCGGUAAUACUGUUAUACUCGAGUGCAGAAGAGGUUAACGGAACUCCAUGUGGAGCGGUAAAAUGCGUAGAUAUAUGGAAGAACAUCAAUAACGGCGAAGGCAGUUAACUAUUCUGUUACUGACAUUGAGGCACGAAAGCGUGGGGAGCAAAAAGG
rnacentral:rRNA from 1 species